UACGUAGGGGGCGAGCGUUGUCCGGAAUUACUGGGCGUAAAGAGCGUGUAGGCGGGUGCUUAAGUCAGGUGUGAAAGACCGGGGCUCAACUCCGGGGUUGCACUUGAAACUGGGCAUCUUGAGGGCAGGAGAGGAAAGCGGAAUUCCUGGUGUAGCGGUGAAAUGCGUAGAUAUCAGGAGGAACACCGGUGGCGAAGGCGGCUUUCUGGACUGACCCUGACGCUGAGACGCGAAAGCGUGGGGAGCAAACAGGAUUAGAUACC
rnacentral:rRNA from 1 species